CCUUUAGCUCAGUUGGUAGAGCAGCUGACUCUUAAUCAGCGGGCCCAGGGUUCGAGUCCCUGAAGG
rnacentral:tRNA from 1 species